rnacentral:rRNA from 1 species
AUUGAACGCUGGCGGAAUGCUUUACACAUGCAAGUCGAACGGCAGCACGGACUUCGGUCUGGUGGCGAGUGGCGAACGGGUGAGUAAUGUAUCGGAACGUGCCCAGUCGUGGGGGAUAACGUAGUGAAAAUUACGCUAAUACCGCAUACGAUCUAUGGAUGAAAGCGGGGGAUCGCAAGACCUCGCGCGAUUGGAGCGGCCGAUAUCAGAUUAGGUAGUUGGUGGGGUAAAGGCCCACCAAGCCAACGAUCUGUAGCUGGUCUGAGAGGACGACCAGCCACACUGGAACUGUGACACGGUCCAGACUCCUACGGGAGGCAGCAGUGGGGAAUUUUGGACAAUGGGCGAAAGCCUGAUCCAGCCAUUCCGCGUGCAGGAUGAAGGCCCUCGGGUUGUAAACUGCUUUUGUACAGAACGAAAAGGUUUCUACUAAUACUAGGAGCUCAUGACGGUACUGUAAGAAUAGGCACCGGCUAACUACGUGCCAGCCGCCGCGGUAA